CUUGCCCACCUUCCAACAUUUGGGUCAAAUCCAAUGAUAUAGUAGGUAAUGAAUACCCAUACAGCAGCUUCUAUACAAGAAAUGGGAAUCUUUAGGAUCCAUGCUGGAAGUGCAUACGCCCAUGGAGGAUAAAAGAGGAGGUCCCUUUGCUUGUAGAAAACUGGAAGCCUUGCAAUGGUCAUGGAAAGCUCUGCCAAUCCAUUAAACAGAGUUAUAAUCACGCUAAAGAACAAAGCACCAGCAUAAAUUCCUCCAUCCUCUACUGAAUCGCGGUGCAUAU